rnacentral:rRNA from 1 species
UACAGAGGUCUCGAGCGUUGUUCGGAUUUAUUGGGCGUAAAGGGUGCGUAGGCGGUAUGGCAAGUCAAGUGUGAAAUCUCGGAGCUCAACUUCGAAACUGCACUUGAUACUACUAUGCUAGAGGGUUGUAGAGGAGACCGGAAUUCACGGUGUAGCAGUGAAAUGCGUAGAUAUCGUGAGGAAGACCAGUUGCGAAAGCGGGUCUCUGGGCAAUUCCUGACGCUGAGGCACGAAGGCUAGGGGAGCAAACAGG